rnacentral:tRNA from 1 species
GCACUCUUAAGGAAUAGAAAGAAUUAUAAUNGGUUUUCUAAACCGAGGGUCGNAGGUUCGAAUCCUNCAGGGCGCGCCA